ensembl:snRNA U6 U6 spliceosomal RNA
UUGAGUUCAUCAACAAAUAUACUAAAGUUAGAAUUAUAGAGAGUUUAGCAUGAUCCUUGCACAAAGAUGACACAUAAAUUCAUUAAAUAUUCCAUAGUUUU